UACGAAGGGGGCUAGCGUUGUUCGGAAUUACUGGGCGUAAAGGGCGCGUAGGCGGCGUGUCAAGUCAGGCGUGAACGCCCGGCUCACUGGACCGCGCUUGAGACUGGCAUGCUCGAGUUCGGGAGAGGAUGGUGGAAUUCCCAGUGUAGAGGUGAAAUUCGUAGAGAUGUGGAGGAACACCAGUGGCGAAGGCGACUCUUUGGCCUGUAACUGACACUGAGGCGCGAAAGCGUGGGGAGCAAACAGGG
rnacentral:rRNA from 1 species